rnacentral:rRNA from 1 species
UCAGAUUGAACGCUGGCGGCAUGCCUAACACAUGCAAGUCGAACGGUAACGCAGGAGCUUGCUCCUGGCGACGAGUGGCGGACGGGUGAGUAACGCGUAGGAAUCUGCCUGGUAGCGGAGGACAACCCGGGGAAACUCGGGCUAAUACUGCAUACGCCCUACGGGGGAAAGCGGGGGAUCUUCGGACCUCGCACUAUCAGAUGAGCCUGCGUCCAAUUAGCUUGUUGGUGAGGUAACGGCUCACCAAGGCGACGAUUGGUAGCUGGUCUGAGAGGAUGAUCAGCCACACUGGGACUGAGACACGGCCCAGACUCCUACGGGAGGCAGCAGUGGGGAAUAUUGGACAAUGGGGGCAACCCUGAUCCAGCAAUGCCGCGUGUGUGAAGAAGGCCUGCGGGUUGUAAAGCACUUUCAGUGGGGAAGAAAGGCUGGCGGCUAAUACCUGGCAGGCUUGACGUCACCUACAGAAGAAGCACCGGCUAACUCCGUGCCAGCAGCCGCGGUAAUACGGAGGGUGCGAGCGUUAAUCGGAAUUACUGGGCGUAAAGCGCGCGUAGG